GCAGGGAAGCUGUGGCAGGAUCCUGUCUGUGGAAGCUGGAGGAGGCUUGCUCACAACUUUGCAGAGCAUGAAGCAAAGAGAGACAGAGGCGGUGAUGACUCUUCCUUUCCCCUUCUUUAGGAGUCCCAGAUCCCAGGUCAUCGGAUGGUGCCUCCGACCAAGGUAGAAGCUGAGUCACCCGAGUUGUCCAUGAGUGCUUGGCACUCUUGAAGUCUGUCCCACUCAUCCUGUUUCCAUCUGAAGAAAUGAAGCUGGUGACAGAUAUAGGCAGGUCUGUCUGUAUAUGAGAGAAGACAGGGUGGAAUAUAUUAUGGAGUUCAAUGUCUCUCCCUGCCAGAGUAAGCCAUAAAAGCUGAGAGUCCUUCUUAGACAGAGUUAAGCUGUGAAGACUCUCAGACAAGACACACUGCAAAGAAGACUAAGACAAGACCAGCUGCCUGGGAGAAGCAGAAACCAGUCAAACUGCCUAGAAGAGGUUUAGGCCAACUUAGGCACCUGGAAAGGACUCCCUCCAACCAGUUGAGCUGCCUGCAGGCUGUGCAGUAAGCUGUAUGGUGUGCUCCAGGUUCCCAGCUUUGUGAGCUGUCACCUGUGCUGGGGUGGGCUUUGGUGAUGUAGCUGUCUUUGAGUGACUUAUACUUGUCCAUCUUCCUGUAAGUAACCCCAAUAAAACUCAUGGUUCACC